rnacentral:rRNA from 1 species
GCUUACACAUGCAAGUCGAACGGAAUCUUAGGAUUUAGUGGCGGACGGGUGAGUAACGCGUGAGAAUCUGGCUUCAGGUCGGGGACAACAGUUGGAAACGACUGCUAAUACCGGAUGUGCCGAAAGGUGAAAGGUUUACUGCCUGAAGAUGAGCUCGCGUCUGAUUAGCUAGUUGGUGUGGUAAGAGCGCACCAAGGCGACGAUCAGUAGCUGGUCUGAGAGGAUGAUCAGCCACACUGGGGACUGAGACACNGCCCAGACUCCUACGGGAGGCAGCAGUGGGGAAUUUUCCGCAAUGGGCGAAAGCCUGACGGAGCAAUACCGCGUGAGGGAGGAAGGCUCUUGGGUUGUAAACCUCUUUUCUCAGGGAAUAAAAAAAUGAAGGUACCUGAGGAAUAAGCAUCGGCUAACUCCGUGCCAGCAGCCGCGGUAAUACGGAGGAUGCAAGCGUUAUCCGGAAUGAUUGGGCGUAAAGCGUCCGCCAGGUGGCACUGUAAGUCUGCUGUUAAAGAGCAAGGCUCAACCUUGUAAAGGCAGUGGGAAACUACAGAGCUAGAGUACGUUCGGGGCAGAGGGAAUUCCUGGUGUACGGGAAAAA